rnacentral:rRNA from 1 species
UACGAAGGGUGCAAGCGUUACUCGGAAUCACUGGGCGUAAAGCGUGCGUAGGCGGUUUCUUAAGUCUGUCGUGAAAGCCCUGGGCUCAACCUGGGAAUGGCGAUGGAUACUGGGAGGCUAGAGUGUGAUAGAGGAUGGUGGAAUUCCCGGUGUAGCGGUGAAAUGCGUAGAGAUCGGGAGGAACACCAGUGGCGAAGGCGGCCAUCGUGGAUCAACACUGACGCUGAGGCACGAAAGCGUGGGGAGCAAACAGG